rnacentral:rRNA from 1 species
ACGCCGCGUGAGUGAUGAAGGCUUUCGGGUCGUAAAGCUCUGUCAAGUGGGAAGACCUGCAGUAUGCUAAUAUCAUAUUGCACUGACGGUACCACUGAAGGAAGCACCGGCUAACUCCGUGCCAGCAGCCGCGGUAAUACGGGGGGUGCAAGCGUUAUUCGGAAUCAUUGGGCGUAAAGGGCACGUAGGGCGGCCUGGUAAGUCAGAUGUGAAAGCCCGGGGCUUAACCCCGGAAAGUGCAUUUGAUACUGUCAGGCUUGAGUAUGGGAGAGGGAAGUGGAAUUCCUGGUGUAGAGGUGAAAUUCGUANAUAUCAGGAGGAACACCGGUGGCGAAGCGACUUCCUGGACAAUACUGACGCUGAAGUGCGAAGGCGUGGGUAGCAACAAGGAUUAGAUACCUGNUAGUCCACGCAGUAAACGUUGUUCACUAGGUGUAGCGGGUAUUGACCCCUGCUGUGCCGCA